GUGAACGCUGGCGGUAGGCCUAACACAUGCCAGUCGCACGGCAGCACAGUAAGAGCUUGCUCUUACGGGUGGCGAGUGGCGGACGGGUGAGGAAUACAUCGGAAUCUACUUUUUCGUGGGGGAUAAUGUAGGGAAACUUACGCUAAUACCGCAUACGACCUACGGGUGAAAGCAGGGGAUCUUCGGACCUUGCGCGAUUGAAUGAGCCGAUGUCGGAUUAGCUAGUUGGCGGGGUAAAGGCCCACCAAGGCGACGAUCCGUAGCUGGUCUGAGAGGAUGAUCAGCCACACUGGAACUGAGACACGGUCCAGACUCCUACGGGAGGCAGCAGUGGGGAAUAUUGGACAAUGGGCGCAAGCCUGAUCCAGCCAUACCGCGUGGGUGAAGAAGGCCUUCGGGUUGUAAAGCCCUUUUGUUGGGAAAGAAAAGCAGCAGGUUAAUACCCCGCUGUUCUGACGGUACCCAAAGAAUAAGCACCGGCUAACUUCGUG
rnacentral:rRNA from 1 species